AAAAUUAAACAAUUUAGAGUUCAUAUAUGCUAUACAUAUAUACAUAGAGUUGAGCUCUUAUACUUUUAGAAAGUACCAAGUGAUUAGUGCUUGUAGAUUUUUUGCAUUUUUUUUUAGAGAGAGAAAGAUAGCAUGCUACCGUUUCGUUUAUUUUUUUUAGAAAUAAACUUAGCUGGAAAUGUGAAUCAACUAGGAUUCGAACUUUAGCGGGGAAUACAGAUAGAUCCUGUUUUAGCGGCGAGAAGGCCCAAGCAGCUGAUUGAUUAUUGGAAAGACAUCCUUUGACCCUUUGAUUUUUUUUUUUUUUUUUUUUCGAUCAAUUCCUGAGGCCCUAGUUGCUUCACAUCUGUAGCCUAAUUCAUACCUUCAAUGAAUGAAGCAGGUAGCGCGCUACCUAUUCUCUAAAAAAAAAACCAGGAUUCGAACUUGGGAUCUCGGAUACCAAUCACCAGGCCCUUUGCCAUUUGCGCUAGAGACGGUCGGUGCUAAUUUUCGGCCUUUGGAUGAAGGGAUAUGCUGUUAGGAUGAUAGUAGUUCUCUAGGGUUGAACGGAUGAUUGUGUGGAAUAACAUAAUCUAAGGAGUGAAAUUGGUCAAAGAGAUAGAUCAAAAUGUAAGAAACUUACAAGCACUAAGUGCUUGGUGCUUGUAUAAACACCAUAGCCAGACUCUCUCUC
rnacentral:lncRNA from 1 species